rnacentral:rRNA from 1 species
GCGGUGGAGCGUGUGGUUUAAUUCGAAGCAACGCGCAGAACCUUACCAGCCCUUGACAUCCCGGUCGCGGAUCGCAGAGAUGCUUUCCUUCAGUUCGGCUGGACCGGUGACAGGUGCUGCAUGGCUGUCGUCAGCUCGUGUCGUGAGAUGUUGGGUUAAGUCCCGCAACGAGCGCAACCCCCGCCUUCAGUUGCCAACGGUUCGGCCGUGCACUCUGGAGGAACUGCCUGUGACAAGCAGGAGGAAGGUGGGGAUGACGUCAAGUCCUCAUGGCCCUUAUGGGCUGGGCUACACACGUGCUACAAUGGCGGUGACAGAGGGAUGCAAUACCGCGAGGUGGAGCAAAUCCCUAAAAGCCGUCUCAGUUCGGAUUGUUCUCUGCAACUCGAGAGCAUGAAGUUGGAAUCGCUAGUAAUCGCAGAUCAGCUCGCUGCGGUGAAUACGUUCCCGGGCCUU